rnacentral:rRNA from 1 species
UAAGGAAUAUUGGACAAUGGAGGCAACUCUGAUCCAGCCAUGCCGCGUGAAGGAAUAAGGCCCUAUGGGUUGUAAACUUCUUUUAGACGGGACAAAACCCCUUUACGUGUAAAGGGUUGAUGGUACUGUCAGAAUAAGCAUCGGCUAACUUCGUGCCAGCAGCCGCGGUAAUACGAAGGAUGCAAGCGUUAUCCGGAAUUAUUGGGUUUAAAGGGUGCGUAGGCGGACUAAUAAGUCAGUGGUGAAAGCCUGCAGCUUAACUGCAGAAUUGCCAUUGAUACUGUUAGUCUUAAGUACAGUUGAGGUAGGCGGAAUGUGUCAUGUAGCGGUGAAAUGCUUAGAUAUGACACAGAACACCGAUUGCGAAGGCAGCUUGCUAAGCUGUAACUGACGCUGAGGCACGAAAGCGUGGGGAGCAAACA